AGCUUCAUGGCGCAGUGGCAGCGCAUUAGGUUUAUAAUCUAGAGAUCCUCUGUUCGAAUCGGAGUGAAGCUG